ensembl:lincRNA Gm2694 predicted gene 2694
AGACGAGGGAGCGCGCGCGCGCUCCCGGACAGUUCUCCGCAGCCGCUCGCCCGAGCCUUCUACUUGGCCAACACAGCUGCCUCUACCACCUCGCGUGCCCGGUUCGUGGGCUUUCAGUUACCAAGCAUGUCCUGAAGAUGAAGAUACUCUCAGCCUAACGUCUCCAAGCAAAUAUUGAUUCAGCAGUAUCCCCAGGCAAAGCCACACCAUAUAUCAGUGAACAGAGAAACAACUGCCCUUCUCCGGGCCCCUGUCUGAGAAGCUGGAGCAUCAGCCCUGGAGCUCUCCGGAGCAGUUUCCUUGCUCACUGUCCCCAGCUGAACACAGGUUGGUCAGAUCUACUCCCGUUCCCACUCUGCCCCCAUCUCUCCCCUCUGUGCUUGCCAAGCAGUAAGUAGACUGCUCAUAUUUGUGGAAUGAGUAGUGUGUUGGUGUCCCCAGUAGCAGACCUGGCAAUGAGACUUCAUGUGCCAUAUGAAGGGAGUGUUCCAGGGGACAAAAAUAAGGGAAUAGAGAUAGGACAAGGGUGGGUGAGGGGGCAGAGCACUGGAGUUGGGCUGUCCCCCUCACCUCCACUCCUAAACGUCAGACUGCAGGGUUCUUCAAGGAACACAGAAACUCAGGCAUGUGUGCCGAAGCAAUGGCAGGAAGCAAUGAGGACCUGGGUGGGGUGCCUGUGUCUGUCAGUACAACUGUCUGGCUUUCUACUGCUGUGAUGAAAUACUGUGACCAAAAGCCACUUGGGUAGGAAAGAGGUUAUUUUACAUUACAGCUUCUAAGUCCACCACUGUGGGAAAGCCAGGGCAGAAACCUAGAGCAGAAACCAAGGAAACACUGCCUACUGGCCUGUUCUCAUGGUUUGCCCAUCCUGUUUUCUUAUACCAUCUAGGACCACUUACCCAUGGGUGCCACUGCCCACAGUGAGAUGGACCCUCCCACAUCAAUUAUCAGUCAAGAAAAUGUCCCACAGACCAAUUCUGUGGAGGGACAUUUUUUUUCAGUUGAUGGUCUCUUCCCAACUGAUUCUAGCUGUGUUGAGAUGACAUAAAUAGUAGCCAGCAUACCAUCCAAACAGACAGCAAAGCCAAGGCAGCCUUCAGGCCUGCUGUCACUUCAUCCUGUCCUUCCUAGGACCAGAGGGGAUACUGCCUGCUCAGGAAAGCCAAGAGGAGCCUGCUUCUCCUGAAAUGUAAAAAGUACACUGUGCAUAUGGAAAGCAUUAUUGUGUUUCACUGUGCAUCGCCAGAUUCUUCUUGCAAAACAUUGAAGCUUAGCUCAUAAUUUGGUGAUAAAAUAUUGAUUAUUUAUCCACAGCCGCAUGCAGAGGUCCAAAGCACGUAAACAGGAUACCCACCCUGCAUUAUCUUAUAUUUUAAGUCAAUAUGAAGAUGGACAUUCUACCCCUGAGACCAAUUUCGAUCAAAUACUUUUGUCAAUAAAAAGAUACUAAUG